CCUGCCCCUAGAGGUAUUGUAGGUGUGGCUGCAGUGUCACAUGUGUAUCAGUAGGUGGCAGAGAAGAGAGAGGCUGUGCCUAUGCUUAGUGUUCUGACCAUUAAACAUCUGAAUGAUCAGUAGCCUAACAUU